rnacentral:lncRNA from 13 species
GUCAUUAUUGUUUUGAGAUAAGCUAUUUGGGGUGUAGAGCACUUUAUUAUGGGGACAGAACGCAGAUUCUAUAAAUAGUAUAAAGUCUGCUAUUGACAAUAGCUCACUAACAAAUACCACUAUCUGGUAGUCACUUCAGAUUGAUUAAUGAGUUGAUUAUUUAGGGCUGAACGCUUGUUAAAACCACUGGGCCGCAAGGCAGCGUGUUAAACCGUGCAGCUGUGAAACUGCAAUAUAAUCCACGAGCUGAUAAAAUCUGGAAAUAUUUAAUCUGUCUAUUAUUUAAAAAUUAUUAUUCAGCAUUCAUAAGUAGAGGGUGAAUCUGAUUGUUAGUUGAUGUCAUCAAACACCUAUGUUCUGUCUCUUGUUCUGCACAACAUCCUCAGGUCACAAUAUAGAAUCAGUUGUCACUUGUAGGCACAGCAACAGCUGGCCAGAGAAGAGAGACACAUCCUUCCAGGCAGAGCUUUGUAAUGAGAAGAAAACCUUUCUCAGAAGUGCUCAAGAUGCCUGUCUUCAGCCCAUGUUAUUUGUGUUGGAUUUUGAAGGAAGUUGCAGCCGUGAGAAUCUGCCAAAGAAAAGUUGUAAGGGUUUAAAAAAAAGUGCUCCCAGUGUUGUAAAGUGCUCCCAGCUCAGUGGAGAAGAAAGAUGACUGAGAAGCUGCAAACUUAGGCACAAGAAUGAGAAAAUAAGAUACAGGGAAGAUAAAUGAUCAAAAAUCACGAACAGAAAUAAUGAAAGAUUUCUUGACACUCCAGUUCAGAGUUAACUACAACAGAUUUUACCUCCCCCAAGACCACGUCUUUCUUCCUGGAACAGUUUGGAACAGAUCAGUGAAAGGUCAUAACACGUAGAUAAACAUGUUCACAGAAUAGUUCAUCAAAAGUGGAUUCUAUGAAAAUCGAAUACUUGACUUUGCCUGAAGCAAAGUGGAGCAUUAUUUUACAUUAGUCAGAACUAUCAGGCUGGUAAUUUGGAAAUUAUACACACACUGUUGAAAGAAUGUCUAAAUCUGAAUGGAAUUUCUAAGCUCUUAGCUCAAGAUUUGAUUAAUUAAAAAGCAAGAAAUGGAUGCAUUGACUGUGUUUACAAGUGAUAUGUCCUGGUUUUAUCCUUUAUCUGUUCUCAUCUUUGAGGGUUUCCAUUAAGGUCGUCAAGUUUUGAAUAAGCCUGACAAGCAUUCAACAGCUUUCAGCAGUGGCAAAGGCUGUUUAUAGAGGGG